rnacentral:rRNA from 1 species
UACGUAGGUCCCGAGCGUUGUCCGGAUUUAUUGGGCGUAAAGCGAGCGCAGGUGGUUUAUUAAGUCUGGUGUAAAAGGCAGUGGCUCAACCAUUGUAUGCAUUGGAAACUGGUAGACUUGAGUGCAGGAGAGGAGAGUGGAAUUCCAUGUGUAGCGGUGAAAUGCGUAGAUAUAUGGAGUAGCACCGGUGGCGAAAGCGGCUCUCUGGCCUGUAACUGACACUGAGGCUCGAAAGCGUGGGGAGCAAACAGG